GAUGAUCGCUGGCGGCGUGCUUAACACAUGCAAGUCGAACGGAAAGCCCCCUCGGGGGAAUUCGAGUGGCGAACGGGUGAGUAACACGUGGGGAAUCUGCCCUUCUCUCUGGGAUAACUCGGGGAAACUCGAGCUAAUACCGGAUAUUCCGAUCAGGUCGCAUGGCCAGAUCGGGAAAGCUCCGGCGGAGAAGGAUGACCCCGCGGCCCAUUAGCUUGUUGGUGAGGUAACGGCUCACCAAGGCGACGAUGGGUAGCCGAGCUGAGAGGCUGAUCGGCCACACUGGGACUGAGACACGGCCCAGACUCCUACGGGAGGCAGCAGUGGGGAAUCUUGCGCAAUGGGCGAAAGCCUGACGCAGCAACGCCGCGUGCGGGAUGAAGGCUCUCGGGUCGUAAACCGCUUUCAGCAGGGAUGAAAUUGACAGUACCUGCAGAAGAAGCCCCGGCUAAAUACGUGCCAGCAGCCGCGGUAACAC
rnacentral:rRNA from 1 species